rnacentral:rRNA from 1 species
UACAGAGGGUGCGAGCGUUAAUCGGAGUUACUGGGCGUAAAGGGCGCGUAGGCGGUUCGUUAAGUGAUAUGUGAAAUCCCUGGGCUUAACCUAGGAACUGCAUGUCAUACUGGCGAGCUAGAGUAUUGUAGAGGGUAGUGGAAUUUCCGGUGUAGCGGUGAAAUGCGUAGAGAUCGGAAGGAACACCAGUGGCGAAGGCGGCUACCUGGACAAAUACUGACGCUGAGGCGCGAAAGCGUGGGGAGCAAAC